rnacentral:misc_RNA from 1 species
UCCGGUUUGACGCCGGCAGUCUCCCUAGAGUCCCCGGCAUUACCCGCUGGCAACUAGGAACAGGGGUUGCGCUCGUUGCCGGACUUAACCGAACAUCUCACGACACGAGCUGACGACAGCCAUGCGGCACCUUCCAUCGCGCCCCGAAGGGACCCUCCCUUUCGGGAGGUAGCACGAUGAAUUUAGCCCAGGUAAGGUUCCUCGCGUUGCAUCGAAUUAAGCCACAUGCUCCACCGCUUGUGCGGGCCCCGUCAAUUCCUUUGAGUUUCAUCGUUGCCGACGUACUCCCCAGGUGGAUCACUUAACGCUUUCGCUUGGCCGCUGACUGUGUAUCGCCAACAGCGAGUGAUCAUCGUUUACGGCGUGGACUAC